rnacentral:lncRNA from 1 species
AUUACCAAGGCUUUGACUGGAAUGUUAUAUUUGAGAGAAACAUACAUAAACUCAGAUAUGACCAUAGAGCUUUGAAAGCAAAGAUUGGACCUUAUGAAAUAAAGCCACUUGGAAAUUGGCCUGGUACCUUGCUUACAGGAUUCCCAGCAACCUUACCUGGUUAAUAAGGAAGGUCACUUCCCUGGCAGGUGCAGGAACCCCAGGAUAUUUUGGGGACCUCGGGAAGAGAGGAAUUCACCCAAAUCUGUAGGUGUUGCAGUAUGACUUGCCAAGUGGUGCCAUGUCCACACCCGGGAUCCAAACUGGCAAACCCUGAGCCGCCAAAGUGGAACAUGUGAACUUAACUGCUGUGCCACCAGGCCUACCCCACAAACCAAAUCAUUGAGAACUGAAACUGUCCUUUCUCCUGAAGCCCUGCAAACUAAAAUUGGACAACACUGAUAUAAAAUCUUAUUUGACAUGGGAGCUAGAACUUAGACCUGACUCUGCAGGACAGGUCCUAGAAACUGCUUGGCCAGAAGAGGAAUUAACUUUAUUUAAUGAAGAAUUAACACAGGCCCUAAACCAAACUUGUCAUGUAUAUCACAGUAGACAAUGGGGGAAAUAAAAUUGUCCAGUUGGUCAACAAAUAUGAACAUACGUGUAC